UUCCUGGUGGCUUGGUGGUAAAGAAUCUGCCUGCAAUGCAGGAGACCCGGGUUCUAUCCCUGGGUGGGGAA
rnacentral:tRNA from 1 species